UUUUUAUAAACUGAUUUACUUUCUUUUCUUUUACAAUCUCUCACCGCCUCUUCUCUCUCCUAAAAUCUCUCCACCGUCUCUCUCUCUCUAAUCUCUCUCUGCACACCCAUCUCCCCCAAAUCUCUCGCUCUCUCCUGCUCCCUCGCACUCUCCUUGCCCUCUCUCUCUCCCGGGUGUCGCUGCAGUGUUCUUAGCCACCGCUGCUCUGUUUUCCGGCCGCCCAUCGCCGCUCGUGCUCCGAUUCCGGCACCACCAGCUCGUCCCCUCUCUUUUCCCCUCAUUCCCCUGCCUCCCUUUGCUUUGCUGCUGUGCCUGUGCAUCUGAUCGAGCAUUGAGGGCGUGAUACCAAGCAAGGGCAGAAAAUGUGAGAGUUGUAUAGCGGUUCAGUAGCUACGGAUUGUUCGAGACGAGUAGAACCAGACGUUGGGGAUCAAGACUGAAGUUAGAUAAGAUGUCGUAUCAGGCUGCAGCAACCGCAUGAGCGACAUAGCAAAGAAUCAGGAAUAGUUGAUGGUGAUGUCUUGAGAAAGCAGAAUAAGAUAAGGAUGUUAGCUAAGAGUGUAUAAGCUAAGGACCAAAGAUAAUGUUAAAGAUGGUUCGCCUAUUUAGGCUAAGCAUAAGAGUAAGGCUAGGCGAGGAUUGCAAGUGACUAAGUUUCAACCUGAUGGUCAGGAAGAGUAUCCAAGAUCGAGUCUUUGGGACUAGUGUGGCACCAAAUCUAGACCCCCGGAUUUGAGGGCUGUCACAGUUGGUAUCAGAGCUACAGGUUAUAAGUUAUUGAAAUCAGAAUGUAGGUUGUAUUAGGAUUGUGUUUAGUGGGACCUCAGCUAGAGAUAAGUCAAGACUAUUUGGUAUAGUCUUUGUUGAUAGAAUUGAGGUAGAUAUUGGAGCAUUGAUUUCAAGUAAUCAUUUGGGAUAUCCUAGUUUCUAAUUCGAGAACUAGUGAGUUGGAUUUCAGGGACAUGAUGGAACCUUUAGUUUUCAAUCUUUUUGAACUUGAGUUUGACUUUCUGAGUAACCAGAGGCAGCUAGACUUGUGUAUUGACCUAUCUAGUCUUGAGUGUUCCUUGUCAUCUCUACCACUUUUUGAGUAUUUGUUCGAGGGUCAUCUAGUAUUCUUAUGAAGUCAUAUAGAAGGAAUAUGAGAUUUGAUGGAUCAUUGUGAGAGGCCAAGUGUAUAGUUCUUUAUUUGAAAAUUAUAUAGAAAGAGUGGUAGACUACUCGAUAUAGUAUUAUGAGUAGGUUACAACCUCAAUGCUCUACACUGCUGAUUGUGCAAAGUUGGAUAUGACUUCUGAAAGUAUCAAGCUCGACAGGUGUUCUACCUAACGUGGAUAUUGGUGACGGGAUCUACGAAGGUGAAUAUAAGUUAAUAAUAUUUAUCGUAGAAUCGAAACGAGUUAUCAGAAGAAUCGAUCGAGAAGACAUAUGUGAUAGCCUUGGCAAUACCAUCCUCAAUAUUGAUUUUAUUGAGCAUUUUCACAGUCAGUGAAUUGUUUUAAUAUCUCUUCUAUAAAGACAUUCAUGAAGUCCUUUUGUCAAAAAUUUGUAUCUUUGGAAGCUAUUCAAUUUUAACUCUUAAGGUUCGUAUUUAAGAUUCAUUUCUCAAAAGUCAAUCAUUGUUGGUGGAUCUUGAAAUUUUCAUAUUUGCAACUCUAACUGAGAUGAACAACCCUAUUAUAGGGGACACAAGGACCAUCUGUCUGUGUGAUAGAAGUUUGAUGGGACGCCAUCACUUGUGUGUGUUGUGAUUACAAGAAGGCUAAUAACCUUUAGUAGUGUCUAAUAUGGGCACGCAACACUAAGUUCGUUGGAUCAUAUUGAUCUCUCAGUCACUCGUUUAUUCAGAUGAAACCUACUUUGAAAACAUUUUUUUUUUUCUAUGGCCAAAUCCUCAAAGAUUUAUUCCAGGAAGUUAAUUCUGCAUUUGCGAAAAAUUUAAGAUUCCUAUUCCCUUAAAGUGAGGGUAUGCCAAGGUUAAUCAACAGUGGAUGACGAUACGAUAUUGCGAAGCGUGUAUGUUUUAGUUCUAUUCGCGAAUUCUGAGGACAGAAUCUUUGAAAGGGGGGUAGAAUGUAAUAUUCCAGAUCUCUAAUUCGGAUAUGAUUAUUAUAGAUCUAAUUUGUUUAUAUAUUAUGGUUGUAUUUAAUUGAAUAUUGUGUGAUGGUCUAUAUAUGUUUCGUGGAUUAGUAGAUUACGUGUCCUCCUUCUUUCUUUGAUUCCGAGGACGGAAUCCUUAUAAGGAGGGUAGAUUGUAAUGACCUGAAUUUUUAAAAUCUAUUUAUUAUCAUGAAAGUGAUUUUCUUAAAGGAAGGGAAUGAGAUUUAAUAUUUUAUUCCAUUUCAAUUUUCAAAAUGUUAUAUUUAAACUCCGGGUUAUUGUGUUGUUGGUAUAUAAUUGUUUCUUCAUAAAUGAAUUUCAUAUAUUACUUUGAAAAUUCUAAAUGAUUAUUAUGUGAUUGUAUUCUCGAAAGUCAGUGUAUUUUAUUUCUAUCGGAUUGUUGAGCUGUGUUAUCGAUUUCUACUUGUUAUGGAUUUAUAGUGAUUGGAUUUUUGUAAAAUUGUGUAUUGCCUAUAAAAUCAUUUUUAUCGGUUUAUAAUUUCAUUAAAUAUUUUUAGAGAUUUAUAAAAUUCAUAAAAUCACAUUUUGUUAAUUUUUCAGCUCUAAAUGAUUUUCUAUGUAGAUUAAAGUGGGGUGUUUCUAUUAAUUUCAAAAAUGAUCCAAAAAUCAUGAAAAUCAUAUUUUAUUAGUUUUUAAUUAUUUUGGAGAUUUUAAAAAUUAUUUUGGUAUUUAUCUGGAUCAUUUUUAUCUGUGAUUUUGUUCGUUAAUCUGUCAAAUUCAGUCCGAGACCAAGCUGGCAGGGGUACGUGUCAAUUGCUUUGAUACGUGUCUUGCGUGAAAUCAGUUUUUAUAAACUGAUUUACUUUCUUUUCUUUUACAAUCUCUCACCGCCUCUUCUCUCUCCUAAAAUCUCUCCACCGUCUCUCUCUUUCUCUCUAAUCUCUCUCUGCACACCCAUCUCCCCCAAAUCUCUCGCUCUCUCCUGCUCCCUCGCACUCUCCUUGCCCUCUCUCUCUCCCGGGUGUCGCUGCAGUGUUCUUAGCCACCGCUGCUCUGUUUUCCGGCCGCCCAUCGCCGCUCGUGCUCCGAUUCCGGCACCACCAGCUCGUCCCCUCUCUUUUCCCCUCAUUCCCCUGCCUCCCUUUGCUUUGCUGCUGUGCCUGUGCAUCUGAUCGAGCAUUGAGGGCGUGAUACCAAGCAAGGGCAGAAAAUGUGAGAGUUGUAUAGCGGUUCAGUAGCUACGGAUUGUUCGAGACGAGUAGAACCAGACGUUGGGGAUCAAGACUGAAGUUAGAUAAGAUGUCGUAUCAGGCUGCAGCAACCGCAUGAGCGACAUAGCAAAGAAUCAGGAAUAGUUGAUGGUGAUGUCUUGAGAAAGCAGAAUAAGAUAAGGAUGUUAGCUAAGAGUGUAUAAGCUAAGGACCAAAGAUAAUGUUAAAGAUGGUUCGCCUAUUUAGGCUAAGCAUAAGAGUAAGGCUAGGCGAGGAUUGCAAGUGACUAAGUUUCAACCUGAUGGUCAGGAAGAGUAUCCAAGAUCGAGUCUUUGGGACUAGUGUGGCACCAAAUCUAGACCCCCGGAUUUGAGGGCUGUCACAGUUGGUAUCAGAGCUACAGGUUAUAAGUUAUUGAAAUCAGAAUGUAGGUUGUAUUAGGAUUGUGUUUAGUGGGACCUCAGCUAGAGAUAAGUCAAGACUAUUUGGUAUAGUCUUUGUUGAUAGAAUUGAGGUAGAUAUUGGAGCAUUGAUUUCAAGUAAUCAUUUGGGAUAUCCUAGUUUCUAAUUCGAGAACUAGUGAGUUGGAUUUCAGGGACAUGAUGGAACCUUUAGUUUUCAAUCUUUUUGAACUUGAGUUUGACUUUCUGAGUAACCAGAGGCAGCUAGACUUGUGUAUUGACCUAUCUAGUCUUGAGUGUUCCUUGUCAUCUCUACCACUUUUUGAGUAUUUGUUCGAGGGUCAUCUAGUAUUCUUAUGAAGUCAUAUAGAAGGAAUAUGAGAUUUGAUGGAUCAUUGUGAGAGGCCAAGUGUAUAGUUCUUUAUUUGAAAAUUAUAUAGAAAGAGUGGUAGACUACUCGAUAUAGUAUUAUGAGUAGGUUACAACCUCAAUGCUCUACACUGCUGAUUGUGCAAAGUUGGAUAUGACUUCUGAAAGUAUCAAGCUCGACAGGUGUUCUACCUAACGUGGAUAUUGGUGACGGGAUCUACGAAGGUGAAUAUAAGUUAAUAAUAUUUAUCGUAGAAUCGAAACGAGUUAUCAGAAGAAUCGAUCGAGAAGACAUAUGUGAUAGCCUUGGCAAUACCAUCCUCAAUAUUGAUUUUAUUGAGCAUUUUCACAGUCAGUGAAUUGUUUUAAUAUCUCUUCUAUAAAGACAUUCAUGAAGUCCUUUUGUCAAAAAUUUGUAUCUUUGGAAGCUAUUCAAUUUUAACUCUUAAGGUUCGUAUUUAAGAUUCAUUUCUCAAAAGUCAAUCAUUGUUGGUGGAUCUUGAAAUUUUCAUAUUUGCAACUCUAACUGAGAUGAACAACCCUAUUAUAGGGGACACAAGGACCAUCUGUCUGUGUGAUAGAAGUUUGAUGGGACGCCAUCACUUGUGUGUGUUGUGAUUACAAGAAGGCUAAUAACCUUUAGUAGUGUCUAAUAUGGGCACGCAACACUAAGUUCGUUGGAUCAUAUUGAUCUCUCAGUCACUCGUUUAUUCAGAUGAAACCUACUUUGAAAACAUUUUUUUUUUCUAUGGCCAAAUCCUCAAAGAUUUAUUCCAGGAAGUUAAUUCUGCAUUUGCGAAAAAUUUAAGAUUCCUAUUCCCUUAAAGUGAGGGUAUGCCAAGGUUAAUCAACAGUGGAUGACGAUACGAUAUUGCGAAGCGUGUAUGUUUUAGUUCUAUUCGCGAAUUCUGAGGACAGAAUCUUUGAAAGGGGGGUAGAAUGUAAUAUUCCAGAUCUCUAAUUCGGAUAUGAUUAUUAUAGAUCUAAUUUGUUUAUAUAUUAUGGUUGUAUUUAAUUGAAUAUUGUGUGAUGGUCUAUAUAUGUUUCGUGGAUUAGUAGAUUACGUGUCCUCCUUCUUUCUUUGAUUCCGAGGACGGAAUCCUUAUAAGGAGGGUAGAUUGUAAUGACCUGAAUUUUUAAAAUCUAUUUAUUAUCAUGAAAGUGAUUUUCUUAAAGGAAGGGAAUGAGAUUUAAUAUUUUAUUCCAUUUCAAUUUUCAAAAUGUUAUAUUUAAACUCCGGGUUAUUGUGUUGUUGGUAUAUAAUUGUUUCUUCAUAAAUGAAUUUCAUAUAUUACUUUGAAAAUUCUAAAUGAUUAUUAUGUGAUUGUAUUCUCGAAAGUCAGUGUAUUUUAUUUCUAUCGGAUUGUUGAGCUGUGUUAUCGAUUUCUACUUGUUAUGGAUUUAUAGUGAUUGGAUUUUUGUAAAAUUGUGUAUUGCCUAUAAAAUCAUUUUUAUCGGUUUAUAAUUUCAUUAAAUAUUUUUAGAGAUUUAUAAAAUUCAUAAAAUCACAUUUUGUUAAUUUUUCAGCUCUAAAUGAUUUUCUAUGUAGAUUAAAGUGGGGUGUUUCUAUUAAUUUCAAAAAUGAUCCAAAAAUCAUGAAAAUCAUAUUUUAUUAGUUUUUAAUUAUUUUGGAGAUUUUAAAAAUUAUUUUGGUAUUUAUCUGGAUCAUUUUUAUCUGUGAUUUUGUUCGUUAAUCUGUCAAAUUCAGUCCGAGACCAAGCUGGCAGGGGUACGUGUCAAUUGCUUUGAUACGUGUCUUGCGUGAAAUCAGUUUUUAUAAACUGAUUUACUUUCUUUUCUUUUACAAUCUCUCACCGCCUCUUCUCUCUCCUAAAAUCUCUCCACCGUCUCUCUCUUUCUCUCUAAUCUCUCUCUGCACACCCAUCUCCCCCAAAUCUCUCGCUCUCUCCUGCUCCCUCGCACUCUCCUUGCCCUCUCUCUCUCCCGGGUGUCGCUGCAGUGUUCUUAGCCACCGCUGCUCUGUUUUCCGGCCGCCCAUCGCCGCUCGUGCUCCGAUUCCGGCACCACCAGCUCGUCCCCUCUCUUUUCCCCUCAUUCCCCUGCCUCCCUUUGCUUUGCUGCUGUGCCUGUGCAUCUGAUCGAGCAUUGAGGGCGUGAUACCAAGCAAGGGCAGAAAAUGUGAGAGUUGUAUAGCGGUUCAGUAGCUACGGAUUGUUCGAGACGAGUAGAACCAGACGUUGGGGAUCAAGACUGAAGUUAGAUAAGAUGUCGUAUCAGGCUGCAGCAACCGCAUGAGCGACAUAGCAAAGAAUCAGGAAUAGUUGAUGGUGAUGUCUUGAGAAAGCAGAAUAAGAUAAGGAUGUUAGCUAAGAGUGUAUAAGCUAAGGACCAAAGAUAAUGUUAAAGAUGGUUCGCCUAUUUAGGCUAAGCAUAAGAGUAAGGCUAGGCGAGGAUUGCAAGUGACUAAGUUUCAACCUGAUGGUCAGGAAGAGUAUCCAAGAUCGAGUCUUUGGGACUAGUGUGGCACCAAAUCUAGACCCCCGGAUUUGAGGGCUGUCACAGUUGGUAUCAGAGCUACAGGUUAUAAGUUAUUGAAAUCAGAAUGUAGGUUGUAUUAGGAUUGUGUUUAGUGGGACCUCAGCUAGAGAUAAGUCAAGACUAUUUGGUAUAGUCUUUGUUGAUAGAAUUGAGGUAGAUAUUGGAGCAUUGAUUUCAAGUAAUCAUUUGGGAUAUCCUAGUUUCUAAUUCGAGAACUAGUGAGUUGGAUUUCAGGGACAUGAUGGAACCUUUAGUUUUCAAUCUUUUUGAACUUGAGUUUGACUUUCUGAGUAACCAGAGGCAGCUAGACUUGUGUAUUGACCUAUCUAGUCUUGAGUGUUCCUUGUCAUCUCUACCACUUUUUGAGUAUUUGUUCGAGGGUCAUCUAGUAUUCUUAUGAAGUCAUAUAGAAGGAAUAUGAGAUUUGAUGGAUCAUUGUGAGAGGCCAAGUGUAUAGUUCUUUAUUUGAAAAUUAUAUAGAAAGAGUGGUAGACUACUCGAUAUAGUAUUAUGAGUAGGUUACAACCUCAAUGCUCUACACUGCUGAUUGUGCAAAGUUGGAUAUGACUUCUGAAAGUAUCAAGCUCGACAGGUGUUCUACCUAACGUGGAUAUUGGUGACGGGAUCUACGAAGGUGAAUAUAAGUUAAUAAUAUUUAUCGUAGAAUCGAAACGAGUUAUCAGAAGAAUCGAUCGAGAAGACAUAUGUGAUAGCCUUGGCAAUACCAUCCUCAAUAUUGAUUUUAUUGAGCAUUUUCACAGUCAGUGAAUUGUUUUAAUAUCUCUUCUAUAAAGACAUUCAUGAAGUCCUUUUGUCAAAAAUUUGUAUCUUUGGAAGCUAUUCAAUUUUAACUCUUAAGGUUCGUAUUUAAGAUUCAUUUCUCAAAAGUCAAUCAUUGUUGGUGGAUCUUGAAAUUUUCAUAUUUGCAACUCUAACUGAGAUGAACAACCCUAUUAUAGGGGACACAAGGACCAUCUGUCUGUGUGAUAGAAGUUUGAUGGGACGCCAUCACUUGUGUGUGUUGUGAUUACAAGAAGGCUAAUAACCUUUAGUAGUGUCUAAUAUGGGCACGCAACACUAAGUUCGUUGGAUCAUAUUGAUCUCUCAGUCACUCGUUUAUUCAGAUGAAACCUACUUUGAAAACAUUUUUUUUUUCUAUGGCCAAAUCCUCAAAGAUUUAUUCCAGGAAGUUAAUUCUGCAUUUGCGAAAAAUUUAAGAUUCCUAUUCCCUUAAAGUGAGGGUAUGCCAAGGUUAAUCAACAGUGGAUGACGAUACGAUAUUGCGAAGCGUGUAUGUUUUAGUUCUAUUCGCGAAUUCUGAGGACAGAAUCUUUGAAAGGGGGGUAGAAUGUAAUAUUCCAGAUCUCUAAUUCGGAUAUGAUUAUUAUAGAUCUAAUUUGUUUAUAUAUUAUGGUUGUAUUUAAUUGAAUAUUGUGUGAUGGUCUAUAUAUGUUUCGUGGAUUAGUAGAUUACGUGUCCUCCUUCUUUCUUUGAUUCCGAGGACGGAAUCCUUAUAAGGAGGGUAGAUUGUAAUGACCUGAAUUUUUAAAAUCUAUUUAUUAUCAUGAAAGUGAUUUUCUUAAAGGAAGGGAAUGAGAUUUAAUAUUUUAUUCCAUUUCAAUUUUCAAAAUGUUAUAUUUAAACUCCGGGUUAUUGUGUUGUUGGUAUAUAAUUGUUUCUUCAUAAAUGAAUUUCAUAUAUUACUUUGAAAAUUCUAAAUGAUUAUUAUGUGAUUGUAUUCUCGAAAGUCAGUGUAUUUUAUUUCUAUCGGAUUGUUGAGCUGUGUUAUCGAUUUCUACUUGUUAUGGAUUUAUAGUGAUUGGAUUUUUGUAAAAUUGUGUAUUGCCUAUAAAAUCAUUUUUAUCGGUUUAUAAUUUCAUUAAAUAUUUUUAGAGAUUUAUAAAAUUCAUAAAAUCACAUUUUGUUAAUUUUUCAGCUCUAAAUGAUUUUCUAUGUAGAUUAAAGUGGGGUGUUUCUAUUAAUUUCAAAAAUGAUCCAAAAAUCAUGAAAAUCAUAUUUUAUUAGUUUUUAAUUAUUUUGGAGAUUUUAAAAAUUAUUUUGGUAUUUAUCUGGAUCAUUUUUAUCUGUGAUUUUGUUCGUUAAUCUGUCAAAUUCAGUCCGAGACCAAGCUGGCAGGGGUACGUGUCAAUUGCUUUGAUACGUGUCUUGCGUGAAAUCAGUUUUUAUAAACUGAUUUACUUUCUUUUCUUUUACAAUCUCUCACCGCCUCUUCUCUCUCCUAAAAUCUCUCCACCGUCUCUCUCUUUCUCUCUAAUCUCUCUCUGCACACCCAUCUCCCCCAAAUCUCUCGCUCUCUCCUGCUCCCUCGCACUCUCCUUGCCCUCUCUCUCUCCCGGGUGUCGCUGCAGUGUUCUUAGCCACCGCUGCUCUGUUUUCCGGCCGCCCAUCGCCGCUCGUGCUCCGAUUCCGGCACCACCAGCUCGUCCCCUCUCUUUUCCCCUCAUUCCCCUGCCUCCCUUUGCUUUGCUGCUGUGCCUGUGCAUCUGAUCGAGCAUUGAGGGCGUGAUACCAAGCAAGGGCAGAAAAUGUGAGAGUUGUAUAGCGGUUCAGUAGCUACGGAUUGUUCGAGACGAGUAGAACCAGACGUUGGGGAUCAAGACUGAAGUUAGAUAAGAUGUCGUAUCAGGCUGCAGCAACCGCAUGAGCGACAUAGCAAAGAAUCAGGAAUAGUUGAUGGUGAUGUCUUGAGAAAGCAGAAUAAGAUAAGGAUGUUAGCUAAGAGUGUAUAAGCUAAGGACCAAAGGUAUUCUCAUGUGGGGAGCUCAUUUUAUUCACCUGAUAUUGGAUUAAGGUAGUCACUAGGUGAAAGUUUGGAAAGCUGGAGAGGCUUUUAUGAAAGUAUACGACCUCCACAUAUGGGAUUGUGGCUUAGCAUUGGUCUGCUGAAUAGAGAUCAUUCGUCUAGGCCAUUAUCGGAUGCUCACCGUGUGAAGAUUUAUAUUAACUUUUUUUCAACAUCUGAUCAAGGUUUUUUGUUUACUUCUUAUUGCGUGUCAUUGUAUUUUGACAAGAGACACCGAGAAUGAAUAUGACCCAACUUCCAUCUAGAUACAUGAAUCUAGCCUACUAUAACUCAUAUGUGUACAAGGAAAUGUAGUCAAAAUAUAUUUGAUUUUCGAUGAUUUUGGCAUUAAUCUUUUUUUGUAUAAUAUGUAGUGGUUUCCAUAUUCACUA